GAUGAACGCUGGCGGCGUGCCUAAUACAUGCAAGUCGAGCGAACAGAUGAGGAGCUUGCUCCUCUGACGUUAGCGGCGGACGGGUGAGUAACACGUGGAUAACCUACCUAUAAGACUGGGAUAACUUCGGGAAACCGGAGCUAAUACCGGAUAAUAUAUUGAACCGCAUGGUUCAAUAGUGAAAGACGGUUUUGCUGUCACUUAUAGAUGGAUCCGCGCCGCAUUAGCUAGUUGGUAAGGUAACGGCUUACCAAGGCAACGAUGCGUAGCCGACCUGAGAGGGUGAUCGCGCACCCGGGAAAUGACACACGGUCCAGACCCCCACGGGAGGCAGGAGUAGGGAAUCUUCCGAAAUGGGCGAAAGCCUGCCGGAGAAACGCCGCGGGAGUGAUGAAGGUCUUCGGAUCGUAAAACUCUUUUAUUAGGGAAGAAAAAAUUGGUAAGUAACUAUGCACGUCUUGACGGUACCUAAUCAGAAAGCCCCGGCUAACUACGU
rnacentral:rRNA from 1 species